rnacentral:rRNA from 1 species
CCUACGGGGGGCAGCAGUGAGGAAUAUUGGUCAAUGGGAGAGAUCCUGAACCAGCCAAGCCGCGUGAGGGAAGACGUCCCUAUGGGUUGUAAACCUCUUUUGUCGGAGAACAAAACCCGGGACGUGUCCCGGACUGCGUGUAUCCGAAGAAAAAGCAUCGGCUAACUCCGUGCCAGCAGCCGCGGUAAUACGUAUGGUGCAAGCGUUAUCCGGAUUUACUGGGUGUAAAGGGAGCGCAGGCGGCACGGCAAGCCUGAUGUGAAAGCCCGCGGCCCAACCGCGGGACUGCAUUGGGAACUACCGGGCUGGAGUGCCGGAGAGGUAGGCGGAAUUCCUAGUGUAGCGGUGAAAUGCGUAGAUAUUAGGAGGAACACCAGUGGCGAAGGCGGCCUACUGGACGGUGACUGACGCUGAGGCUCGAAAGCGUGGGGAGCAAACAGGAUUAGAUACCCGGGUAGUC